rnacentral:misc_RNA from 1 species
CCUAGAGUUGUAGGCUUUGCCUGCUAUCUCUUACCCAUGUCUUUUGAGUACCUUCGUUUCCUCGGCGGGUCCGCCCGCCGAUUGGACAAUUUAAACCAUUUGCAAUUGCAAUCAGCGUCUGAAAAAAACUUAAUAGUUA